UACGGAGGAUGCGAGCGUUAUCCGGAUUUAUUGGGUUUAAAGGGUGCGUAGGCGGGGCGACAAGUCGGCGGUCAAAUGUCGGGGCUCAACCCCGGCCUGCCGUCGAAACUGCCGUCCUUGAGUGGGCGAAAGGCGCGCGGAAUGCGUGGUGUAGCGGUGAAAUGCAUAGAUAUCACGCAGAACCCCGAUUGCGAAGGCAGCGCGCCGGCGCCCGACUGACGCUGAGGCACGAAAGCGUGGGUAUCGAA
rnacentral:rRNA from 1 species